AGGGACAACUGCAAACGGAAUUCAGCAAUUUUGUCUUUUGUUAUAUUCUCUUGAAGCAAAUUGUUUUAAAGUCUUCUUUCUGUGAGCAGGCCGAGGCCUUUGAGCUCCUCUGCAUGGCAGCUGGCUGCAUGACAGGAUCUCCCCACGGGCAGGGACACCUCUCAAGGUCACUUCUGCAGAAAUCCCUUACUCCUUGUGAUGGAUUCCUUGCUACAACAGAUCCUUGGAAAGAUGCGCUGCUGGUAUGAAAAUUGCAUGUGCUGAACUUGGAUGGACAGAUUAAAAACACCCAGAACCAAACUUAUUCAUGGAGGAACCAGGUGAAAUUUCUUAUUCAGGUAUGUGCUGCACGGUGUAUCAGUGUAUUGAGGUUAGAUACAAACUCUGCUCAUGCUCUGAGGUGACCAAAAUCUGUAUGACCAGAGAAGUGUGCUGCAGCAUACUGGCGGUGAGCACCAGCUGAAGGCUUCUCUGGAUCCAUGCAUCCCACCUGGAGUUCAGGCACAGCUCACACGAUGACGUGAUGGGCAGAAGGGCUGUAGCUAUGAUUAAAGACUGCUUGCUAACCCAGUUCCUGUCUGCAGGAUUAGGCACAUUCCUAAAAGUCCUCUGUACAUCCACCUGGGCCACCUUGCCAUCGGGACUGGGACUGCUUAUCACACAGCAACAGACACUUUUCCUCUUAGGGGUUUUAAUACCUGCAGUUCUUCUUUGGUGACAACUCCAAUCCUGAGAUGCUGCAAUGACCACAAGGCUUUCUUUAAAAAAAAAAAACAACACACAUUAGCUAAUCAUAACUGUGGAGGAAAAAAGGUAACAUAACGGAAAGUGGAUUUUAAAACAACAAAGGUUUAUUUGCAUGUCUGUCUGACCUGGGCUACUGCCAAAUGCUGACGGAGAUACUAAAUAGGCUUCCUGUUAUCUGUCAGCCCUAAUGGCUGCAAGUCGGCUAUAACCCCUGUCUGUCUCCUUACCCACCUGUGAAACAUGUACUGCCUUCUGCAGGAGUCAUAUUUUAUCACAGACCUCUUUUGUUGUCUCCCCUUCCUGCAUUUGUAAAAUCCCUACAUGUUUGUUUGGAGGUCUUGUCUGAGGUUGUUUCUUGGCUUUCCUCUCGGUUUCACAAUUUCUGUGUCGAGCUUAUACAAUAACUUUUUCCAGUAAGUCAUAGAAUAACUGGGUCAAAACAUGGUACUUGGGAAUUAACACAGAGGCACCCAAUUUCUGCCCCAAUCUCUUUCAGUUUUAUGAAUAGCUUUUUGUUUUGUUUUGUUUCUGGUUUUUUUUUUUUUUUUUUUGCUUUUGUGAAUACUCACAUAGUAUUUUAUGGCAUCUGGUAAAAAAAAGAGUGGCUUUAACUGUUAAGGCCUUGU